CCCCACCACUUUAUAUUCUAUUGCACAUGCUCGAAAUCGAAAUUACACUUAUUCCCAUAACCCACCACUAGACUUGCUUGUAAGAGAGAUUCUCCUCUUCUCUUUCUCCACCUCCAUUUUCUUCUCUCCACCUCUUCCCCCUUUUUUUUNCCUCGACUAACCACCGAUGAAACAAAAAACCUCAUCUCAAUAUAUUCUUCUCUUCCUUUUG
rnacentral:misc_RNA from 1 species